rnacentral:lncRNA from 1 species
CGGCUCAUUCCUCGCCGUAAUCGAGUUCCGAAACGCCUCAUACUCCUCCGGCAACCCCCUCAGAGCAUGACCAAUCAUCUCCGCGUCGUCCAUCAUCACCGAAAACCCGGCCAGCUUCGUCCUAAUCUCAUCAAUCCUCCCCACGUACACAUUCACCGAGUCGCCUCCCUUGGUAAUCGUCUGCAGAUCAGACCUGUACUUCAUGAUGUUGAAAUUCGACAUCGACGUGAACCGCCGCUCCAGCGUCAGCCACAGGUCCCUGGCCGUGUCGGCCCCGAUGAUGUGCGGCAGCGCCGACGAGGACAGCGUGGCGUUGAUGACGACCUUGACGCCGGCGUCGUAGCGGCGCCAGAGCCUGAAGUCGGAGGUGAGCUGCGCGGUGGGCUCGCCUUGGGCGUUGAGGGCGAAUUUGUCGGGGGUUUUGAUGGUGCCGUCGACGUAGCCGCGGAGGCCGUGGGCGGUGAAGAUGGUGGUCAUGAGAUGAGACCAGAUGAAGUAGUUGGUGGAUUCGAGGCGUAUGGGCAUGAGAUUACAUAUGGAUGAGAGGAGGACGUCUGGGGUUUCCGGGUAGGAGGAGGAGGUAGGAGAUGAAGCGGCCAUGGUUUAGGGUUUCGACCUCUGUGCCUCUGCUCUGUAGACCGAUGAUUUAUAUGAGCUCCGACGGAAAACGGAGACCGCAGGGCACCGGAUUUUGACACGUGGCUUUCAACGGGGUAAAUGAAAAACCAGCGAUUAGGUUCAUCCGG